UGGGGAAUAUUGCACAAUGGGGGGAAACCCUGAUGCAGCAACGCCGCGUGAAGGAAGACGGUUUUCGGAUUGUAAACUUCUUUUCUUAGUGAAGAAGCAAGUGACGGUAGCUAAGGAAUAAGCAUCGGCUAACUACGUGCC
rnacentral:rRNA from 1 species